rnacentral:rRNA from 1 species
AUUGAACGCUGGCGGCAUGCUUUACACAUGCAAGUCGAACGGCAGCGCGGGCUUCGGCCUGGCGGCGAGUGGCGAACGGGUGAGUAAUGCAUCGGAACGUGCCCAGUAGUGGGGGAUAGCCCGGCGAAAGCCGGAUUAAUACCGCAUACGACCUGAGGGUGAAAGCGGGGGACCGAAAGGCCUCGCGCUAUUGGAGCGGCCGAUGUCGGAUUAGCUAGUUGGUGGGGUAAAGGCUUACCAAGGCGACGAUCCGUAGCUGGUCUGAGAGGACGACCAGCCACACUGGGACUGAGACACGGGCCAGACUCCUACGGGAGGCAGCAGUGGGGAAUUUUGGACAAUGGGGGCAACCCUGAUCCAGCCAUGCCGCGUGCGGGAAGAAGGCCUUCGGGUUUUAAACCGCUUUUGUUCGGGAAGAAAUCCUCUGGGCUAAUACCCCGGGGGGAUGACGGUACCGGAAGAAUAAGCACCGGCUAACUACGUG